rnacentral:tRNA from 1 species
UUCCCUGUGGCUGAGUUGGUAGAGCAUGGCGUUUGCAACGCCAGGGUUGUGGGUUCGAUUCCCACGGGGGAGC